UACAGAGGGUGCAAGCGUUAAUCGGAAUUACUGGGCGUAAAGCGUGCGUAGGUGGUUCGUUAAGUCAGGCGUGAAAUCCCCGGGCUCAACCUGGGAACUGCGCUUGAUACUGGCAGACUAGAGUCUGGUAGAGGGUAGUGGAAUUCCGCAUGUAGCGGUGAAAUGCGUAGAGAUGCGGAGGAACAUCAGUGGCGAAGGCGGCUACCUGGACCAAGACUGACACUGAGGCACGAAAGCGUGGGUAGCAAAC
rnacentral:rRNA from 1 species